AACGGGAUUAGAUACCCUGGUAGUCCACGCUGUAAACGAUGUCGAUUUGGAGGUUGUGCCCUUGAGGCGUGGCUUCCGGAGCUAACGCGUUAAAUCGACCGCCUGGGGAGUACGGCCGCAAGGUUAAAACUCAAAUGAAUUGACGGGGGCCCGCACAAGCGGUGGAGCAUGUGGUUUAAUUCGAUGCAACGCGAAGAACCUUACCUACUCUUGACAUCCAGAGAACUUAGCAGAGAUGCUUUGGUGCCUUCGGGAACUCUGAGACAGGUGCUGCAUGGCUGUCGUCAGCUCGUGUUGUGAAAUGUUGGGUUAAGUCCCGCAACGAGCGCAACCCUUAUCCUUUGUUGCCAGCGGUUCGGCCGGGAACUCAAAGGAGACUGCCAGUGAUAAACUGGAGGAAGGUGGGGAUGACGUCAAGUCAUCAUGGCCCUUACGAGUAGGGCUACACACGUGCUACAAUGGCAUAUACAAAGAGAAGCGACCUCGCGAGAGCAAGCGGACCUCAUAAAGUAUGUCGUAGUCCGGAUUGGAGUCUGCAACUCGACUCCAUGAAGUCGGAAUCGCUAGUAAUCGUAGAUCAGAAUGCUACGGUGAAUACGUUCCCGGGCCUUGUACACACCGCCCGUCACACCAUGGGAGUGGGUUGCAAAAGAAGUAGGUAGCUUAACCUUCGGGAGGGCGCUUACCACUUUGUGAUUCAUGACUGGGG
rnacentral:rRNA from 1 species